rnacentral:rRNA from 1 species
UACGGGAGGCAGCAGUGGGGAAUAUUGCACAAUGGGCGCAAGCCUGAUGCAGCCAUGCCGCGUGUAUGAAAAAGGCCUUCGGGUUGUAAAGUACUUUCAGUCGUGAGGAAGGUGUUAAGGUUAAUAACCUUAGCAAUUGACGUUAGCGACAGAAGAAGCACCGGCUAACUCCGUGCCAGCAGCCGCGGUAAUACGGAGGGUGCGAGCGUUAAUCGGAAUUACUGGGCGUAAAGGGCACGCAGGCGGUUAAUUAAGUUGGAUGUGAAAUCCCCGGGCUUAACCUGGGAAUGGCAUUCAAGACUGGUUAGCUAGAGUCUUGUAGAGGGGGUAGAAUUCCAUGUGUAGCGGUGAAAUGCGUAGAGAUGUGGAGGAAUACCGGUGGCGAAGGCGGCCCCUGGCAAAGGACUGACGCUCAUGUGCGAAAGCGUGGGGAGCAAAC